UGGGUUGACACUACUGUAGUUAGCGGUUUAAGGUCCUGGUUUCGAUUCCCGGGGAGACCCCCAAAUUAGUCGGGAACGCGAGAUUAUGGCUAGCUGCUGAGAUGUGGAGUUGAGUUCACAGUUGAUGGACCAGAGUCGCACGCUGGAUUGGUGGUGACUGCCGAACCCUGAAUUCGGUGCCACAGGAUGUAUGUGUUGAACAGGGUUGUAAGCAGGGUGGCGGCAAACACAACUGGUGGUUAGGGGGCCAGUCCUUCCUUUCUGGUCAUGAUACAUGCUCAGUUGUGAAGUUUUACUAAACUACAUAAGCCAAAGGCCAUAUCCUUGACAUCGCAGAUGACAACUUUAAUUGAUGGGGUGGGUAGUUGUUGGUUAGUUGGUUCGUUGACGCCUGACAUCGUUGAUGGCUGCUUCCUGAAAGGCCAUCAUGAGGUUCUCCACUAUAUGAAAAUCAUAUUGCCUCGACCUCACCACCGACAGACUGCACAUCCAAGUAAAAUGCAAUCGCACGUAUGCAUUCGCAUUGCUUACCCGGCGGGAGCCUGCAUGCCCGCGUCAAACGCACCAGCGAGUUAUGAGAACGGGCUAACAAGGUUGGGAGUUGGUUAAGAGAAAGCGAUGUGUAUUAUGUAUCGGCCCGCCACAACCACGAUCCAUAUUUGCCCGCACAGCGCUCACGUGCACUCACCACCCUUGACCGCCUUGAGGAUACAUGGCCCGGCGCUGUUUUGUUCAUUGUUCCAUCGCCGCCGCUGCCACCGCUCCCAAGACCGCCCCCAUCAGAAAUGGCAUGGCGGAGCUGACAUCCUUCGAAACGAGUAUGUUAGAUGCGCAUAGAAAAUGAUUCGAUGGUGAAGCAGAUGAAACCCGAAUAUCGGUGCGGAUCAGCUUCGGGAACCGGAGGAUGCAUUGCAUCUCUGGAAGCCACACGAAAGUGUUUCCUGCGGACCAUUUGCAACAAGUACCGGUCCCAGAAACUUUCUGGGACUUUAAGUGCAAUGCGCGGAAGCUGGGUAAAACAAUCUAGGUAAUAGAGUGUUUCCA
rnacentral:lncRNA from 1 species